rnacentral:lncRNA from 1 species
CAAAAGAGGAAUCUGUUUUUCAUUCAUUUAUUUCAUAUUUUCUAUAUGAGGUGCCUUUUCUAUUGUAAAAUAGAAUUGAGAGGAGAGUGCUUUGGAAGCCAGGAUGAAGGGAUGAUUUCAGAGGUCUGGAGGUUUUAUCACAGGGGAAUAAAGAGUCAUAGGUAUGAUGAAGUGGCUUCAAAAAACAGCAUGAGUUCAGAAAGGAGUAAAGAUCCCGGGAGUGCAUAGUGACUCUGCUUGACAAAGCUAAAUCUCCUACCCUGGAGAGUAGAGGGGUUAAGUAAAAACUAAAACCAAACCAGUGACAAGAGCUGCACAGCUUCCACAUGUAAACUAUGCAUCUUCUGGACCCAGUAUUUUUCCCUGGGCCCCUUGAUAGGAAGGAGUCCGGGGACUGUGUCAGCCACACACAGGAGAAGAAGGGAGGUCAACAGUUUGGAAAGGGAGAUGGAAGAACAAUCAGGAAACUUGAGUUUGUCACCAAGUGGCUUUGUAACCUUGGGGCAAGUCACUCUUUUUUCUUUCAGGGCUUCAACAUUUUUACCUAUAAAACAAGAGUGAAGCUGAAUGUUUGGGUUCCUUUCUAGCACUGCCUCUCUGCCUUGGUUGUCUGCACUUCAAUGGAAGAGGACAUCAGCCCAGGGCCUGAGGCCUCAGUGGGGAGAAGGGGAGGUUGACCUCUGGUGAGGGGUCAUGUCCUUGGGGCUCAGGCAUGCUCCCUCUUCCCUCUAACCAUGGGCAUCCCAUCACUGCUGGCCAUGCUGUGUUUGGAAUCUGAGGUGAAUUGGGAGUCUUUGGGAACUUGGGAGCCUGUCCCCACAUCUGUGGAUUGCUCUGACUUAAUGUCCUGUGGGAAUUUAGCAGUUUUGGAUAUGGUAACUAAUCUUGUUUUUUUUUUUGUUUUCUUUUGUUUUUGU